CUGACAUGCGUGCGAGUCGACGGGUUUUGAAACCUGGGAUGCGCAAGGAAGCUGACGAGCGGGAGGCCCUCACGGGCCGCACCGCUGGCCGACCCUGAUCUUCUGUGAAGGGUUCGAGUUGGAGCACGCCUGUCGGGACCCGAAAGAUGGUGAACUAUGCCUGAGCGGGGCGAAGCCAGAGGAAACUCUGGUGGAGGCUCGAAGCGAUACUGACGUGCAAAUCGUUCGUCUGACUUGGGUAUAGGGGCGAAAGACUAAUCGAACCAUCUAGUAGCUGG
rnacentral:ncRNA from 1 species